rnacentral:misc_RNA from 1 species
UUUCCGUAGGUGAACCUGCGGAAGGAUCAUUAUCAAAAGUCAAGUCGGGGGCUGUAAAGCUCUCGUCUACACCCAUGUCUUUUGCGUACUCUUGUUUCCUCGGUGGCGCAAGCUGCCGAUUGGACAAACCAAAACCUUUUUUGUAAUUGCAAUCAGCGUCUGAAAAUAAUCUAAUUAUUUACAACUUUCAACAACGGAUCUCUUGGUUCUG